UACAGAGGGCGCUAGCGUUGCUCGGAAUCACUGGGCGUAAAGCGCACGUAGGCGGACUCUUAAGUCGGUGGUGAGAUCCUGGAGCUCAACUCCAGAACUGCCUUCGAUACUGAGAGUCUCGAGUCCGAGAGAGGUGAGUGGAACUGCGAGUGUAGAGGUGAAAUUCGUAGAUAUUCGCAAGAACACCAGUGGCGAAGGCGGCUCACUGGCUCGGUACUGACGCUGAGGUGCGAAAGCGUGGGGAGCAAACAGG
rnacentral:rRNA from 1 species